GCCUUUUCCCAGAGCUGCGGAGGAGCUCCCAGUCCUGGCUCAUGAGGUCAGGGGGCUGAUGGCCUGGCCCUGCAGAUUCAGAUGAGCCCUGCCCUGGCUGCCUGCUGCUUCACACGGCCUGAUCUUUUGACCAGAAAGGAAUUAAAAAGAAGGUCCCGCAUGAUGGCUGCACCUGUCAGCUGCAAGGAGCUUCCUUUAAGGAUCUUCUGAGUCUUGUGGGUAAACUCCAGGAGUUGGUGAUGGACAGGGAGGUCUGGUGUGCUGCAGUCCAUGGGGUCGCAAAGAGUAGGAUGCGACUGAGCGACUGAACUGAACUGAACUGAGUCUUGUGGAUUUACAGCGAUACUCAGCCGCCUGCGUGGGGACUGAUGCUGGUGGAAGCAGGCUCUCAGGGACACACACCGGCCACACUUCUGGAUGCUCAUGGUGGUUUUAGGAGGGCCCUGGCUGAGCACCUCAUGGAUUCCUGCAGCCUGGAUGAAGACAGGAGACAGAGGACCGAUGCUUCCUGCCUUUCUCACUGACGGGAAUGUUCAGUUGGAGCUCUGCCAGCUCCCCUGGGGGCUGCCUCUGAAACAAUCUUGUUACACCUGGGAUUUUGGUGCCUUUAAUCUGAGAAAAAGUACAUAUCCAUUCAGUAAUCCAAAAGGACUUGAAACUCUUCUUCUCUGAACUAAAGCUAGAGUAUCAUGGGAUUUAAAGAAUCAAGUACAAGUAUUUUCAAGGUACUGUGGAAACAAAGUCAGACUGGAAACCGGGUCAUAAGAUGGAUACUGCCUGGAGGCCUAGAGGGAAGCGUGACCUUCCUUUUCUUGUGGGUGUGAGUAUUUGCAAGGCAGUGAACUCGGUCAGCUGAUCUCCUUAGGACUUAAUCCCAGGUGCAGCCACCAGCCUUGUCCCUGAUUCCAUGGACUCUGUGGCAUUCAGAGUUGGAGGAGAUCAAAUAUUUCAGUGUUUUCAGUAUUCACUCAGCAGUAUAUCUUGUAGCUCUUCCCUGUGUGUGUACACACCUUAUUCGUUUUUAACUGCUGUGUAGUAUUCCUUGUUUCCCAGCCCUCCCCUCCCCGCCUCCCAGCUCUUCCAUACUAAUGGAUGGGCUUCCCGGAUGGCACUAGUGGUAAAGAACCCACUUGCCAACUCAGGA
rnacentral:lncRNA from 1 species